rnacentral:lncRNA from 1 species
GCCGCCGCGGGGCUGCGGCCGAGGAGGCGAGGACCCAGACGCCCAGAGCUGGCGCUUCCUGUCUCUCUGCGCCAGCCUCGGCCUGCGGCGGGGUAGAGCGCCGGAAACGGCUUUAGCGGCUUUGGGAAUUGCGGGCGAAAGUUAAACGGAGAGAUCUUAGAGAUUUGCCCGCAAAUCGAAACAAAACUGCCCCUACUAACUCUGUGCCAACCUGUGCACCGUCUCACUGUGAACCCCUGAAAAUGCCUUUCUGGAGAAGAUUUUAAAUUAUUAGUAAUUAUUUGUGGAGACGGGAUCUCACUGUGAUUCCCAGGCUGGUCUCCAACUCCCAGCAUCAAAGUGAUCCUCCCGCCGUGGCCUCCCAUAUGUGCUGAGAUGACAGCACAAAGAAAAGUAAAAGCCAUGAAGCUCAGUAUCUCCCUCCUCACCACCACAAGACUAUUUACAGUAUGAGUCAAUUUCAGAACUUCUGAGAGCAUGAGGCAGACCCACACCACUUCCAGCUUUUGAGGAUCUGGACAUUUUCAACUUUGGUACUGAGGAAAUUAUUUAAGGGCAUUGUGAGUUGUUUGUUAAUUUUAAGUAAGUAAAGCAUUUACAUUAUUUAAAAA